rnacentral:tRNA from 1 species
AACCCGUUCCGGUAGCUUAAUGGUAAAAGCAUCCUGACAUGUAAUCGGGGAGAUCCAGGUUCGAUUCCUGGCUUGGUUA